GACGUAGGGCGCGAGCGUUGUCCGGAUUUAUUGGGCGUAAAGAGCUCGUAGGCGGCCUGUUACGUCUGCUGUGAAAUCCCGGGGCUUAACCCCGGGCCUGCAGUCGAUACGGGCAGACUGGAGUUCGGCAGGGGAGACUGGAAUUCCUGGUGUAGCGGUGAAAUGCGCAGAUAUCAGGAGGAACACCGGUGGCGAAGGCGGGUCUCUGGGCCGAUACUGACGCUGAGGAGCGAAAGCGUGGGGAGCGAACAGG
rnacentral:rRNA from 1 species